CCCCUCGCCGUCGCCUCUCCGGAACUUCCUCUGGCCUGGGGACAUCCUGCUGCUGUCUCCACCCCGUCCAGUCUUCGUCCGGCCUUCUUAUCUCCUCCCUCUCUUUGAGGGAUCUUUUACAAUGGAUGAUGCGUGAUAGCUUGGUGCUUUUUAUUAUGAUUUUGAAUGAAGGAGAGAAGUUGAACCAUUGGGAAGAGAAAAGCGGCCGCUAGGCCACCCCCUAGGAAGUGGAUGGACAAACUCGAUACGGUCUUUUCCUGCCCAUUCUGCAAUCAUGGGAGCAGCGCUGAAUGCCGGAUGAUAGUACCAUCUUCACGUAUUUUUACUAUUAGUUGGUUGAUACUAGACGGUUAUCUAUCCAUUCAAAAUUGUGACUGGCCUUCAUUUUUCUUCAGUGAUAUGAAGAACCUGAUUAGUGAGGCUAAUUGUCAAAUCUGCCAGGAAAGCUUCAGCACCACUGCAAAGAAGUUCAACCUACCACAUUAUUUUCUUGUUAAUGUAUUUUAAUUAAGCUAUCUUAUCUUAAGUGAAUUAUUCUGCCGAGGGUCAAGAACUAUCCUGGGCAAUGUUAAAUAUAUAUAGCAAUGCAUAUUUGCCCUAUUCCGCAUGGAGUAAAAUUUAGCAUAGCAUUACAGUUAUGUUGGAACCUUCUGAAUUUCGUAGA